AUUGAACGCUGGCGGCAGGCCUAACACAUGCAAGUCGAGCGGAGCCGCGGACGGGUGUGUAAUGCCUAGGACUCUGCCUGGCAGAGGGGGAUAACGUCCGGACACGGGCGCUACUACCACCUUCUAUCAGAUGAGCCUAGGUCGGAUUAGCUAGUUGGUGGGGUAAAGGCACACCAAGGCGACGAUCCGUAACUGGUCUGAGAGGAUGAUCAGUCACACUGGAACUGAGACACGGUCCAGACUCCUACGGGAGGCAGCAGUGGGGAAUAUUGGACAAUGGGCGAAAGCCUGAUCCAGCCAUGCCGCGUGUGUGAAGAAGGUCUUCGGAUUGUAAAGCACUUUAAGUUGGGAGGCGUUACCAACAGAAUAAGCACCGGCUAACUUCGUGCCAGCAGCCGCGGUAAUAC
rnacentral:rRNA from 1 species